rnacentral:lncRNA from 1 species
GCCGCGGGCUCGGCUGACGGAGCGGCCGCGGGUCGGGCCGGGGCUGCGCCGCCCGGGCCGGCACGUAGCGCCCAGCGUGACUCAGCGCUGACUCACCGCGCUCGCUGCCAGUGGAUUUCCCCGUCCCCGGCUCCCGCUCGCCCGUCCUCGCCGCCGCCGGCUCCGCGAGCCCUUUCCUGCACGCCAGACCCGGCCGGCGCUUUCAGCCGACUUUACAGCCUUUGAAUCCCGACCAAAGCGGGGAAGUGACUGGCUUUGUUUUCUCUGACUUUGAGAGCUCAAUGGCCCACUAAUCGAAUUCUUUCAUCAAAGGCUUGUUGGAACAAAUCCCUACCAUCGUCCUUCCACGGUGACUUACAGAUGACCUCGGCUCAGUUUGCUUCUGUCGUCCUAGGCCUGCAUCUUAUUUUUAUCCCACAUUUUCCUGGGUUAUCUUUUCAAUAUGUUUGGUAACUAGUCUUGGCACAAACCCACAAGUGCAGUGACGCAAAUCAGGUUGGAACUUGGCAUGAUGUGCGGGCUUGAGUGACUUACUGUAAAAACCGGGGAAGGCUUCAUAAAGACGUUAUUAUCUGCCAUCUCGGUUGCUGACUAGAUGCCCUGCUCAUUUUCAGUCUGUCACUACCCUCUGGAAGACUGUUAAAAGGCAGAUUCUUCAUCAGUCAUACUUCUUUCUCCCUCUCCAGGAUUCCACACGGAGAGCAAUAGGACAGCACGGUUUCUCCAACUGCAGCCCAUGGACCACUGCAUGGAGAGUGGCUGGGGGACUGUGGGGGACGUGGCCACAGUGCAGGUUCUCAGACCCCGCUCCAAACAUCAGACGCAGAAUGUCUCCUGGUAGGGCCUGGAAAUCGAUCGUCAUGAGCAGCCCAUCAGAGAUGCCUAGGGGAGCUAUUAGGAGAUUGGAAAGUAAUCUGGGAGUCUAUUUGGAAAAUUUCCCAAUUCUUCUGCCCUGGGAUAUUUUGUUUACUCCUUUCUUUUCAUCUCACUGGGUAAGUUUCCCCCACUUUAUCCCCGUUAGCAUUGUGGCAAAAAGCCCAGAUCUGAGACAUACCUGACAAGAGACCUCUCCUUGCUGACUCUUCUCCAAGUGUGGUCUUUGGACCAGCAGCAUGGACAUCACCUGGAAACUUGGAAGAAAUGCAGACUCUCGGGCGCCACCAGAACUACCAUAUCAGAAUCACCACUUGAGCAAGAUCUCCAAGUGAUCUGUGUGUAUAAUAAAACAUUGGGAGUGGGGCGCCUGGGUGGAGCA